rfam:Picea glauca, whole genome shotgun sequence.
GAAAUGGUUUUAUUUAAAACCAUAUUUCAUAUCCUAUGCCUUUUUA